UCAGAACGAACGCUGGCGGCAGGCCUAACACAUGCAAGUCGAACGGAUCCUUCGGGAUUAGUGGCAGACGGGUGAGUAACGCGUGGGAAGCUACCUUGUGGUAGGGAACAACAGUUGGAAACGACUGCUAAUACCCUAUGAGCCCUAUGGGGGAAAGAUUUAUCGCCAUGAGAUGUGCCCGCGUUAGAUUAGCUAGUUGGUAAGGUAAUGGCUUACCAAGGCGACGAUCUAUAGCUGGUCUGAGAGGAUGAUCAGCCACACUGGGACUGAGACACGGCCCAGACUCCUACGGGAGGCAGCAGUGGGGAAUAUUGGACAAUGGGGGCAACCCUGAUCCAGCCAUGCCGCGUGAGUGAUGACGGCCUUAGGGUUGUAAAGCUCUUUCAGCAGUGAAGAUAAUGACAUUAACUGCAGAAGAAGCCCCGGCUAACUUCGUGCCAGCAGCCGCGGUAAUACGAAGGGGGCUAGCGUUGUUCGGAAUCACUGGGCGUAAAGCGUACGUAGGCGGACUGAUCAGUCAGGGGUGAAAUCCCGGGGCUCAACCCCGGAACUGCCUUUGAUACUGUCAGUCUUGAGAUCGAGAGAGGUGAGUGGAACUCCGAGUGUAGAGGUGAAAUUCGUAGAUAUUCGGAAGAACACCAGUGGCGAAGGCGGCUCACUGGCUCGAUAC
rnacentral:rRNA from 1 species